GCGGGGGGGCGUCUCCUCCAGGGGAUGGAGGAGCUGUGCCCUGCACUGCCCUGCCGGGGCUCCCGGCGCUCCGGAGCGUCCGGAGCUCAGGCUAUCCCGCCCGCAGCCGCAGGACUCCCAGCACAGCUCCUGGCAGCAGGGAUGGAGCAGCCCCGGGCCAGCGCUUCCAUCGGGCACAAGAUGGAUUUGUCUCCCGAGCAGGGCUCGUCUGCCAAACGCACAUCCCAGGGGGGGGAACCAGCCACGGGCACCGGGGUGGGCACGGGGAAAGGACUGCCUGCGGCUCCUCAGCCGGGGGCUGCUCUGAACGGGCCCCCUGAGAUGCCUCACCCCGGACACGCCCCAGCGCCAGCCCAGAAGCACCCAAAGAAUCCAGCCGGCACUCGGCAGGGUCGGCACGGCGGGGCUGCAGAGCAGCGCGGGCAGCCAUUCCCAGGGCCCACCUCCCAGAGCUCCCCCGCGCCCCCCACGCGUGUCCCGCCCGCCCCAAAUCCCUGCCCUUCCAGCCGGAGCCCAGCAGCCAGCAGCAGCCUUAAAGCCGGGGCCAUGUGCCCUCAGCGGCACUAAAGCCCGAGCCAGAGCCCUCGGAGAUGCCUGAAAAGAAAAGGGGAUGCUCGGAGAAAGUCGGGCUCGGAGGCAAUUCGCAGUUUUUCGGGGACCCAACCGCACCUGCAGAGCCCGUGGACAGCUGGAACAGGUGGGUCAGAGCCGAGGUGCCCUGAAGGCAGGGCUGUGCAUCCCUUUCCUCGGGGAAAAGAAUUCCCCGGGGCCGCUCCCGAGGCUCCGAAGGGACAGCGGCUUCCCGGCCGGAGAGACGUCCUCGCCCGUGCUCAGGGGCUGCCUCGCCCCGGGCCGGGAGCGCGUCCGGCCCCCGCCUUCUCCUGGGCGAACCCAUCCCCUGGAGCCCGGCCCGGGGCGGAAAAGCGGCCGAAUUCCAGCGAACUCGCUCAAGUCCCCCCAGGGACACCAGCGGGGCUGGGGGAGGAGGGUUACAAACAGCAAAGUCUGUGGAAUAUCAACCUGUCCUUGUCCCGAUCCCGCUGAGCAAACCUGGAACUGUGGCUGCUUCCUGGCAAACCUGGCGUUAGAGCAGCAGCUCUGCGGGGGAACAUCCGGGCUCCAGGAGGCACUGGGAGGCUGUUGCAGCAGGAAUUCGGCAUGGAAUUGCGGGCUGUGAAUUGUGCACAAGCCAGUCCCCCAUUCCCUAUCCAGGCUGGGAGUGCUCGUGCCCUUGGCACAGAUGGCUCUGGCUGGGCAGGAAC